GUUUAAGCCAUAUCACUAAGCGGAGGAAAAGAAACUAACCAGGAUUUCCCGAGUAACGGCGAGUGAAACGGAAACAGCCCAGCUUGGAAAUCGGCGUGCUGCGCAUGCCGAAUUGUAGUCUGGAGAAGGGUCCUUUGCAGCAGACCAGGCCAAAGUCCCUUGGAACGGGACGCCAGAGAGGGUGAGAGCCCCGUCUGGCCCGGACCCUGUUGUGUGACGAGGCUCUUUCGGCGAGUCGGGUUGCUUGGGAAUGCAGCCUCAAGAGGGUGGUAAAUCCCAUCCAAGGCUAAAUACUGGCGAGAGACCGAUAGCGCACAAGUACCGCGAGGGAAAGAUGAAAAGGACUUUGAAAAGAGAGUCAAAGAGUGCUUGAAAUUGUUGGGAGGGAAGCGAAUGGAUGCUCUGUGGGUCCCCUGGUUGUGCGUGGAACGGCGCGAGCUGGUCUGCCAAUCAAUGCAGGGGGCUGCCCAGCAUGGGGUGCUGCAGCGGGAUAAUGGCGGCCGGGCCUCACCAGUCCUCCGUCGACGUCGCUGCGGCCCCCCGGGAAGACGGGGCGCGCUCGCGCGUCCCCCUGAUGCUGGUUUUUUGGGCGUUCCAUUCGGCCCGUCUUGAAACACGGACCAAGGAGUCUAACAUGUAUGCGAGUCUGUGGGUGGAAAACCCGUACAGGCGCAAGGAAACUAACUCGCGGGAUCCUCCUCAUCCGGGGUGCACCGCGGACCGACCUUGAUCUUUUGAGAAGGGUUCGAGUGCAAGCAUACCUGUUGGGACCCGAAAGAUGGUGAACUAUGCCUGAGCAGGGCGAAGCCAGAGGAAACUCUGGUGGAGGCUCGCAGCGAUACUGACGUGCAAAUCGUUCGUCAGACUUGGGUAUAGGGGCGAAAGACUAAUCGAACCAUCUAGUAGCUGGUUCCCCCCGAAGUUUCCCUCAGGAUAGCUGGAGCUCUUGCUGAGUUUUAUCGGGUAAAGCGAAUGAUUAGAGGCAUCGGGGGUGAAACACCCUCGACCUAUUCUCAAACUUUAAAUAGGUAAUGUGCCGGGGUUGCUCCGGUGAACCCCGGCCUCGAAUGCGAGCUCCAAGUGGGCCAUUUUUGGUAAGCAGAACUGGCGAUGCGGGAUGAACCGAAAGCCGGGCUACGGUGCCAAAGUGCGCGCUAACCUAGAUCCCACAAAGGGU
rnacentral:rRNA from 1 species